AAAACAAAUAAAUUUUCUGUCCAAUUCCUGGAAUAAAACAUGAGAAAUGACAGUUCACAGUAUCCGUUAAAACAAAUAAAUUUACAGGAAUACUUAAAAUUCAUACAAUGUGAGAUUUUUUCCAGAAACAAGUCAUACCCACUCAUUCCUAAGUUAACCAACAGGACACAGCCCUGGUGAUGGCUUUCUGAGGAUGACACGAUGGAGGCUUCUCCAAUAGCUCUAAAACUGCGGUGUGGAAAACAUUCGGCAGCCUCAAAGAGCGGUCUUGUUGACCCCAACUAUAUCAUUUUUCAUCAAAAUCAUUCUUGGUAAGUCUUAUGCCCAAGGAGUUAUUUUCCUUAGCAACAUCAUGGUAUGGAGGGAUUUGCUAUAGGAUAGGUCCUGAAUAUUCUUGCUUUUUUUCUGACUUAACUUUGAAAAGAAGUCCUAGACUAAAUUCAACCCUGCUCUUUCAAAUAGCUUCCUCAAAAAUAUAAAAAAAAUCUUUUAAGUCUGCUUUUCUCUGCACAUGGCCCUCUACACAACAUCCAUAGAUACAGUAGAGACAUAGAUGAAAGAUGGGUGUAACCGAGAACAGGUUUGUAUACCAAUUUCCAUAAUUAUCAAUGUAUCAGAUUUUAUAGAUUGAUAAGGAAGCGUGGGCCCCAAGGUAGGCAUUAUCUUUGGCCUGUUGAUUGAUCAGUGAGGUGAAGUGGAUAUAAGAAAAAUGCUGUGUGUGUGGAGAGCAUUAAGAAAGGUCAUAUAUUUCAAAAAAGAAUAUUGUUUACAAGGAGUGUUAAUAGGUUUCAGGGGAAAUGUUAAUUUUUUUUCCUGGAUGAAAUAGCUACUGCAAGUUUUUAAUGGUUAAUCAUUCAUUCUUGAAUUUUUAUAUUAAG
rnacentral:lncRNA from 1 species